rnacentral:rRNA from 1 species
GACGAACGCUGGCGGCGUGCCUAAUACAUGCAAGUAGAACGCUGAAGGAGGAGCUUGCUUCUCUGGAUGAGUUGCGAACGGGUGAGUAACGCGUAGGUAACCUGCCUGGUAGCGGGGGAUAACUAUUGGAAACGAUAGCUAAUACCGCAUAAUAGUAGAUGUUGCAUGACAUUUGCUUAAAAGGUGCAAUUGCAUCACUACCAGAUGGACCUGCGUUGUAUUAGCUAGUUGGGGGGGUAACGGCUCACCAAGGCGACGAUACAUAGCCGACCAGAGAGGGUGAUCGGCCACACUGGGACGGAGACACGGCCCAGACUCCUGCGGGAGGCAGCAGUAGGGAAUCUUCGGCAAUGGACGGAAGGCUGACCGAGCAACGCCGCGUGAGUGAAGAAGGUUGUCGGAUCGUAAAGCUCAGUUGUAAGAGAAGAACGAGUGUGAGAGUGGAAAGUUCACACUGUGACGGUAUCUGACCAGAAAGCGACGGCUAACUACGUG